rnacentral:rRNA from 1 species
AGACGGAGGGUGCAAGCGUUAAUCGGAAUUACUGGGCGUAAAGCGCUCGUAGGCGGCUUGUUAAGUCGGAUGUGAAAGCCCCGGGCUCAACCUGGGAACUGCAUUCGAUACUGGCAGGCUAGAGUAUAGUAGAGGCAAGUGGAAUUCCGGGUGUAGCGGUGAAAUGCGUAGAUAUCCGGAGGAACACCAGCGGCGAAGGCGGCUAACUGGCCUAGUACUGACACUCAUGGACAAAAGCGUGGGGAGCAAACGGGAUUAGAAACCCCGGUAGUCC